AUCGACCGUUUUAGAAACAUCAGUGGCCAACGAUCGUCAGGAUCGUUGAGCUGCAUUGGCGGGAUUUCGCCGUCUUCGUUUCUCUUUCUUCGCGGACGAACACGCGCUGGGCCUGCGAGAGCAGGGUCCCUGGUCCUUGACGGGAUAUGCGUUAGGGGCUUGUAGCUCAGUUGGUUAGAGCGCGCGCUUGAUAGAGCUUGCUUCUAUCGACCGUUUUAAGCGUGAGGUCGGAAGUUCAAGUCUUCCCAGGCCCACCACACUCAUCGGGUAAGCAUUCGUCUUCUGGUUACGGGGCCAUAGCUCAGCUGGGAGAGCGCGUGCUUUGCAAGCAUGAGGUCGUCGGUUCGAUCCCGUCUGGCUCCACCAAAUGGUUUGAUCACCGACGCUGUGUUUGCAGCUAUUCAACCGUCGUCCGCGAAACAUCACUUCGCACCUACUAGUCUGGAUAGACAGUAGGUUGCGUGAUUUCUGACAUCGUAAAGAGGAGAUCGAUCCGAGUUGGAUCGGGCAGCAAGCAAUUGCUGCGCGAACCUUCAUUAUCUCCGGAUCAUUUCGGCGCUCGCGCGCCUUUCAAUGCGGCUCACAAGGCUGCGUCUGAGGGGAAUGCGGGUUGUAAAUGAUCCUUUUAGCGAAGCUUGACCGCCUCGCUAUCGGAACGAUCUUACGAAGCAAGCUGGUCUUUCUAAUCAUUGUCCGGCUGUACGUAGCGUUCAUCGAGGGCGCGUGCCGCAAGGCAAUCGUACAGACAACAUUCUGCCGAGUGUGUGGACAUUGAUAAUGAGAGCAAUCAAGUGCCUUAAGGGUGUUCGUGGAUGCCUUGGCGCUGAGAGGCG
rnacentral:tRNA from 1 species